UUCCAGUAAUUGAUAUUUAACUAUUCUUGGACUACCCACCACGCAACUGGCUUGUUCGCUAUACGACAUUAUUAAAAGGAACCGCUUGCCACAGGGCAGACAAUGAUGCUAUUAUUCUAGGCAAAUGGCUUAAUGCUGUUCUUCUGGCGUGUUGCUGCAGCUCGUUCGCGCCAGUUUUAUCCUUCGCCGUGCACAAAUCCUACGGAGAACAAAAACCUUGCCAUUCUGUACUGAAUAAAUCAAAUAUCGAUUGCAUGUACC